UGGGGAAUAUUGCACAAUGGGCGAAAGCCUGAUGCAGCAACGCCGCGUGAGCGAUGAAGGCCUUCGGGUCGUAAAGCUCUGUCCUCAAGGAAGAUAAUGACGGUACUUGAGGAGGAAGCCCCGGCUAACUACGUGCCAGCAGCCGCGGUAAUACGUAGGGGGCUAGCGUUAUCCGGAAUUACUGGGCGUAAAGGGUGCGUAGGUGGUUUCUUAAGUCAGAGGUGAAAGGCUACGGCUCAACCGUAGUAAGCCUUUGAAACUGGGAAACUUGAGUGCAGGAGAGGAGAGUGGAAUUCCUAGUGUAGCGGUGAAAUGCGUAGAUAUUAGGAGGAACACCGGUGGCGAAGGCGACUUCCUGGCCCUAUACUGACGCUGAGACGCGAGAGCGUGGGUAGCAAACA
rnacentral:rRNA from 1 species